GGUCAUAAGAAUAAUCUAUAAAUAGAGAGGGUCUCUACCUAUGGAUGCAGAAGAAAUAAAUCAGAUUGAGAGAAGAAAGAAAGAGAGAGAGAGGCAUGAGAAGGGAGAAGCCCUUCCUUCGCCAUUGGCAUCUCCCUUAUGGCCACCCCCUUUCUCCUUGGCAUGGGACCCAUCAUGGAUGUCCCCCUUGCUGGUGUGAGGCAUUACACUAGCACCUCUCCUCUCUUAUUUGAUUGGGCUAUGAAGGUAAUUUGAUCGGAGUUCAUCCUAUCUUCC
rnacentral:lncRNA from 1 species